ensembl:snRNA U6 U6 spliceosomal RNA
GUACUCAUUUCCGCAAAACAUAUCCUAAAAUUGUAAUACAGAGAAGGUUAGCAUUGCCCCUGCUUGAGGAUGACAUGUAAAUUUGUGAAGUGUUCCAUGUUUAU